rnacentral:rRNA from 1 species
UCCCGGCGGUCCAAGUCGCAUCCACAUUUAUUUGGUCUAAAACAUCCGUAGCUUGUUCUGCAAGUCUCUUGUGAAAUCUUACAUCUCAAGUGUAAGGCGCGCAAGAGAUACUGCAUUGCUAGAGACCGGAAGACGCAAGGAGUAUGAUCAAGGUAGCGGUAAAAUGCGUUAAUCUUGAUCAGACUAACAACAGCGAAGGCACCUUGCGAGUACGGAUCUGACAGUGAGGGAUGAAGGCUAGGGGC